rnacentral:rRNA from 1 species
GACGAACGCUGGCGGCGUGCUUAACACAUGCAAGUCGAACGAAGUGGCGCACGGGUGAGUAACGCGUAAUUAACCUGCCCUUCAGAGGGGGACAACAGUUGGAAACGACUGCUACUACCGCAUACUGCAGUAGGGGAUUGCGUCUGAUUAGCUAGUGGGAGGGGUAACGGCCCACCAAGGCGAUGAUCAGUAGCCGGUAGUAUGGAAUGAACGGCCACAUUGGGACGGAGAAACGGCCCAGACUCCGACGGGAGGCAGCAGGGGGGAAUAGUCCGCAAUGGACGAAAGUCUGACGGAGCAACGCCGCGGGAGUGAUGACGGCCUUCGGGUUGUAAAGCGCUGUUAAUCGGGACGCGGUACCGGAAUAGAAAGCCACGGCUAACUACGUGCCAGCAGCCGCGGUAAUUC